GGCGCACGGGUGCGUAACACGUGGAUAAUCUGCUUGGGUGUCUGGGAUAACCAAUCGAAAGAUUGGCUAAUACCGGAUAAGCCCCCGGGAGCUUCGGCUCUUGAGGGAAAAGGUGGCCUCUGUAUACAAGCUAUCACAUCCAGAUGAGUCCGCGGCCCAUCAGCUAGUUGGCGGGGUAAUGGCCCACCAAGGCGACGACGGGUAGCUGGUCUGAGAGGACGAUCAGCCACACUGGAACUGAGACACGGUCCAGACUCCUACGGGAGGCAGCAGUGGGGAAUUUUGCGCAAUGGGCGAAAGCCUGACGCAGCAACGCCGCGUGUGUGAUGAAGGUCUUCGGAUUGUAAAGCACUUUCGACCGGGACGAAAACCCUCCAGCCAAUACCUGGGGGCUUGACGGUACCGGGAGAAGAAGCACCGGCUAACUCUGUGCCAGCCGCCGCGG
rnacentral:rRNA from 1 species